AGCAGCCGCGGUAAUUCCAGCUCCAAUAGCGUAUAUUAAAGUUGUUGCAGUUAAAAGCUCGUAGUUGAAUUUCGGGGUUAGUAGGUUGGUCAUGCCUCUGGUAUGUACUGGUCUCACUGAUUCCUCCUUCCUGAUGAACCUUAAUGCCAUUAAUUUGGUGUUUUGGGGAAUUUGGACUGUUACUUUGAAAAAUUAGAGUGUUUAAAGCAAGCUAACGCUUGAAUACAUUAGCAUGGAAUAAUGAAAUAGGACGUUCGAUCCUAUUUUGUUGGUUUCUAGGAUUGACGUAAUGAUUAAUAGGGAUAGUUGGGGGCAUUAGUAUUCAAUUGUCAGAGGUGAAAUUCUUGGAUUUAUUGAAGACUAACUACUGCGAAAGCAUUUUGCCAAGGAUGUUUUCAUUAAUCAAGAACGAAAGUUAGGGAUCGAAGACGAUCAGAUACCGUCGUAGUCUUAACCAUAAACUAUGCCGACUAGGGAUCGGAUGAUGUUAAUUUUUAAUGUACUCAUUCGGCGCCUUACG
rnacentral:misc_RNA from 1 species